rnacentral:rRNA from 1 species
UACGGAAGGCAGCAGUGGGGAAUAUUGCACAAUGGGCGAAAGCCUGAUGCAGCUAUGCCGCGUGUAUGAAGAAGGCCUUAGGGUUGUAAAGUACUUUCAUCGGGGAGGAAAAACAAAACUAAUAAUUUUAUUUCUUGACGUUACCCGAAAAAGAAGCACCGGCUAACUCCGUGCCAGCAGCCGCGGUAAUACGGAGGGUGCUAGCGUUAAUCAGAAUUACUGGGCGUAAAGAGCACGUAGGUGGUUUUUUUAAAGUCAGAUGUGAAAUCCCUGGGCUUAACCUGGAACUGCAUUUUGAAACUGAAAUACUAGAGUAUCGUAGAGGGAGGUAGAAUUCUAGGUGUAGCGGUGAAAUGCGUAGAUAUCUGGAGGAAUACCUGUGGCGAAAGCGGCCUCCUAAACGAAUACUGACACUGAGGUGCGAAAGCGUGGGGAGCAAACAGGGAUUAGAUACCCGU